UACGCGGGGUGCAAGCGUUAUUCGGAAUCAUUUGGGCGUAAGGGGUGCGUAGACGGCUUAUUAAGUCAACUGUUAAAUUCUCCGGCCUAACUGGAGGUCAGCGGUAGAAACUGAUAAGCUUGAGAUUGGAAGAGAGAAGUGGAAUUCUCGGAGUAGCGGUAAAAUGCGUAGAUCUCGAGAGGAACACCGAUGGCGAAGGCAGCUUCUUGGUCCAAAUCUGACGUUGAGGCACGAAAGCGUGGGGAGCAAACGGG
rnacentral:rRNA from 1 species